UUUCAUAUGGUCUGAAAAUAUUUAUAUAAAAAUUGCGAACACUAAUUGUGAGCAAUCAAUGUUUAUUUUGAAUAGGGCGCCAAAUUGAGCCAAAAUUGUUCCAACAUUCAUUAUCAUAAGCAAACAUAACCUACUUCAUAAUGGAUAAUUGCAAAAGAAAAUCAUGUGUUAAUCUAACAUCUGCAAACACUGAGUAACGUCCUAAGUGGAAGAGGGCGCGGUUCAAAGGAAGAAACUACGUUUAUAGUUCGGAAUCUGUGACUGGUACUUUCCUGGAAGAUGGUUGAGGUAAGUACGUGGAGCAGCGACGUUAUUAAUUUUGUUUCGUGCUCGUUUUUCUGUCCGUUAAUAUGUCGAUUAUAGUUGUAUUAUUAGCAAACCUUCAUGUCCGUAAACAUGUGUUAUACGUAGUUACAUUUGUUCUUACAAUUGUCUUGCAUUCGUUUAUUUCGGAUGGCCUUGUUCUCGAAUGUAUGUUCUGUCAUUGGAAAAUCUUGUGUUCAAAUUACUAUAUUGGUUGAAAAUGAUUCUUUAGUCGUAUGCUUUUUAAUUUUGUUCGUUGAAAUGGUUGUUUGUCAAAUCGAGACAACUUGUGGUUAAAUCGAUGUCGACAGAUAAUAAUCCAGUUUUCAAGCUCUUCAGGCAUGCUCUUUUCAUUAGUCCAUGCAGAUGCCACUAUAAUACAUUGGAUUAAGCCAUGUCUGCUUCGUCUCAUAUCCAUUCCAAUUCAUCAGUCAUAAUUUGAUGUCGAAGUCUGAGGUACGGACAGUGUCGUUAAAUAAGCCAUGAAUAA